rnacentral:rRNA from 1 species
AGAUGGCGACCGGCGCACGGGUGAGUAACACUAUCCAACCUGCCGAUAACUCGGGGAUAGCCUUUCGAAAGAAAGAUUAAUACCCGAUGGUAUAAUCAGACCGCAUGGUCUUGUUAUUAAAGAAUUUCGGUUAUCGAUGGGGAUGCGUUCCAUUAGGCAGUUGGUGAGGUAACGGCUCACCAAACCUUCGAUGGAUAGGGGUUCUGAGAGGAAGGCCCCCCACAUUGGAACUGAGACACGGUCCAA